UACGUAGGGACCAAGCGUUGUUCGGAUUUACUGGGCGUAAAGGGCGCGUAGGCGGCCACCGCAAGUCGACUGUGAAAUCUCCGGGCUUAACCCGGAAAGGUCAGCCGAUACUGCGGGGCUAGAGUGCAGAAGGGGCAACUGGAAUUCUCGGUGUAGCGGUGAAAUGCGUAGAUAUCAAGAGGAACACCUGCGGCGAAGGCGGGUUGCUGGGCCGACACUGACGCUGAUGCGCGAAAGCUAGGGGAGCGAACGGG
rnacentral:rRNA from 1 species